rnacentral:rRNA from 1 species
CCUACGGGAGGCAGCAGUGGGGAAUAUUGGACAAUGGGGGCAACCCUGAUCCAGCAAUGCCGCGUGUGUGAAGAAGGCCUUAGGGUUGUAAAGCACUUUCAGUCGUGACGAUGAUGACGGUAACGACAGAAGAAGCCCCGGCUACCUCCGUGCCAGCAGCCGCGGUAAU